rnacentral:rRNA from 1 species
UACGUAGGGGGCAAGCGUUGUCCGGAUUUAUUGGGCGUAAAGAGCGUGUAGGCGGUUAGGUAGGUCCGUUGUGAAAACUCGAGGCUCAACCUCGAGACGCCGAUGGAAACCAUCUAACUAGAGUCCGGAAGAGGAGAGUGGAAUUCCUGGUGUAGCGGUGAAAUGACGCAGAUAUCAGGAAGAACACCCGUGGCUAAGGCGGCUCUCUAGUACGGUACUGACGCUGAGACGCGAAAGCGUGGGGAGCGAACAGG